GUGGGGAAUCUUGCGCAAUGGGCGAAAGCCUGACGCAGCCAUGCCGCGUGAAUGAUGAAGGUCUUAGGAUUGUAAAAUUCUUUCACCGGGGACGAUAAUGACGGUACCCGGAGAAGAAGCCCCGGCUAACUUCGUGCCAGCAGCCGCGGUAAUACGAAGGGGGCUAGCGUUGCUCGGAAUUACUGGGCGUAAAGGGCGCGUAGGCGGACAGUUUAGUCAGAGGUGAAAGUCCAGGGCUCAACCUUGGAAUUGCCUUUGAUACUGGCUGUCUUGAGUACGGGAGAGGUGAGUGGAACUCCGAGUGUAGAGGUGAAAUUCGUAGAUAUUCGGAAGAACACCAGUGGCGAAGGCGACUCACUGGCCCGUUACUGACGCUGAGGCGCGAAAGCGUGGGGAGCAAACAGGAUUAGAUACCCCAGUAGUCC
rnacentral:rRNA from 1 species